GACGAACGCUGGCGGCGUGCCUAAUACAUGCAAGUUGAACGCUAAAGCUUUAACUGGUGCUUGCACCGACCUAAGUUUUUAGAGUAGCGGACGGGUGAGUAACACGUGGGUAACCUGCCCAUCAGAGGGGGAUAACACUUGGAAACAGGUGCUAAUACCGCAUAAUUCCUUUUACCGCAUGGUAAAAGGCUGAAAGGCGCUUCUGGUGUCACUGAUGGAUGGACCCGCGGUGCAUUAGCUAGUCGGUGGGGUAACGGCCUACCGAGGCGAUGAUGCAUAGCCGACCUGAGAGGGUGAUCGGCCACAUUGGGACUGAGACACGGCCCAGACUCCUACGGGAGGCAGCAGUAGGGAAUUUUCCACAAUGGGGGCAACCCUGAUGGAGCAACACCGCGUGCAGGAUGAAGGCCUUCGGGUUGUAAACUGCUUUUGUCUGUGACGAAUAUGACGGUAGCAGACGAAUAAGGAUCGGCUAACUACGUGCCAGCAGCCGCCGUAAAAC
rnacentral:rRNA from 1 species